rnacentral:rRNA from 1 species
UACGGAGGAUGCAAGCGUUAUCCGGAAUCAUUGGGCGUAAAGAGUCCGUAGGUGGCACUUCAAGUCUGCUUUCAAAGACCGAAGCUCAACUCCGGAAAGGGAGUGGAAACUACAUAGCUAGAGUGCGUUCGGGGCAGAGGGAAUUCCUGGUGUAGCGGUGAAAUGCGUAGAUAUCAGGAAGAACACCGGUGGCGAAAGCGCUCUGCUAGGCCGCAACUGACACUGAGGGACGAAAGCUAGGGGAGCGAAU